rnacentral:rRNA from 1 species
GACGAACGCUGGCGGCGUGCUUAACACAUGCAAGUCGAACGGAAAGGCCCUGCUUUUGUGGGGUGCUCGAGUGGCGAACGGGUGAGUAACACGUGAGUAACCUGCCCUUGACUUUGGGAUAACUUCAGGAAACUGGGGCUAAUACCGGAUAGGAGCUCCUGCUGCAUGGUGGGGGUUGGAAAGUUUCGGCGGUUGGGGAUGGACUCGCGGCUUAUCAGCUUGUUGGUGGGGUAGUGGCUUACCAAGGCUUUGACGGGUAGCCGGCCUGAGAGGGUGACCGGCCACAUUGGGACUGAGAGACGGCUCAGACUCCUACGGGAGGCAGCAGUGGGGAAUAUUGCACAAUGGGCGGAAGCCUGAUGCAGCAACGCCGCGUGCGGGAUGACGGCCUUCGGGUUGUAAACCGCUUUCGCCUGUGACGAAGCGUGAGUGACGGUAAUGGGUAAAGAAGCACCGGCUAACUACGUG